rnacentral:tRNA from 50 species
GUUGGGAUAGCUCAGUUGGUAGAG